AGCCUCAUUCCUCCAGGAAGUAAUAGACCGGGAGGAAUGUUCAUUUCUGGCAUUUAACGGAUGGAUUGCCCACUAUGGAUUUCAACGUAGCAUGGCUUUAUGUAAAACUAUUUAUCUUACACCUAAUUAUUGUGUGCCACAUGCGCUCCUACAGAGCUUGUUAUAUGUAUUAAGUUAUAAUAAGCGUAACUUCUUGUACGCUCUUCUGAUUGGGCUUUCCCGGGAGAUCUUUAGACGCACUUGUGAACUUAAGUCCUACAGUUGAACUUUGGUUUCCAGGUUAACUUUUUGGUGAAUUUAAGACCUAAAGCUGAACUUAGGUCAUACAGGUGAACUUCAGACGUACAGGGAUGAAGUUCUGUAGGGAAACAGACCAUAAUACAUCACCGGGCUAGGCUGAGGCUGAUGUACCCAGAGUGUUGGGUCUACGAGGUUGAUGUUUACCUCGUACUCUUCGCUGAAACCCCGGUUAUCGUCCCGGCUCAUCUUCUGGACGUGGUCCUCAAACAGAUCCGCUUGGAUGGGCCUGGAGACAGCACAACAGAUGGUUCACACCGGCAGCUGGCUGGGAGGAAACAGGAGAACACUCCCAGAGCUACCAAGAGCAGUACGAGCAACACAGACGACACAGACCCCGCGAUGACCCCUGCAGGAGGUAAACACAGGUUAUGACGCUGUAGGCUAUCCAUGGCUAGUGAAGCUGGAGGUAGCUACACGCUACACGUGAAGGGACCCAGUCUGGAUGUGUGAGGGAGAGCACUGUGUGAACAUAGACAUCGACGUGGGAAGAGGUACGCCCAGGGGACAGGAUAGAUGUUCCAUACUGUAUCUAUGAGGCUGUCUAUAUACCUGUAGCGUCAGUACGACAGUCCAGGGUUUGGACAGCGCUCCUUCGGGGUCCAGACAAGAGGCAGGCGGUGACCUGGUAGGUCGUGGCCGGCUGGAGCCCGCUCAGAGAGGUGGAGAGCCCCCCCCUGUCUGGGUGAGUCACCGUCUCUCUUCCCACCACGUUCACCUCCACGCCCGACCACACGCCCGCCGGCGGAGCCCAGUGCACCACGAUGGUGCCCGCCCCCCCGCAGACACAACGGGCGCUGAUGUCUGGUGGAGCUGGACAGCGGGCAGAACCAGU